GGGAGUGUAGCUCAGUUGGUCAGAGCAUUCGGCUGUUAACCGAAGUGUCGGGGAUUCGAGUUCCUCCUCUCCCGCCA
rnacentral:tRNA from 1 species